CUCUCUUAAACCUUUGGGUUUAGUGUUGGAAGAGGUGGGCAACUACCCUUCUGAAAUGACUAGGCGGUAACCCUAGGACUUAUUUUCCUGGACUGGCUUUAAUAUUAGGUUCUACCACUUAUUAAAUACCCUUUCUAGGUUGUUCUUUGGAAGUCGCCGAAACAAAAUUUACAAA
rnacentral:misc_RNA from 1 species